rnacentral:tRNA from 1 species
ACCUGGGUGGCUCAGUGGUUGAGUGUCUGCCUUUGGCUCAGGGCAUGACACCAGGGUCGUGGGAUCAAGUCCCACAUUGGGUU